rnacentral:rRNA from 1 species
CCUACGGGAGGCAGCAGUGAGGAAUAUUGGUCAAUGGGCGCGAGCCUGAACCAGCCAAGUAGCGUGAAGGAUGACUGCCCUACGGGUUGUAAACUUCUUUUAUAAAGGAAUAAAGUGAGGCACGUGUGCCUUUUUGUAUGUACUUUAUGAAUAAGGAUCGGCUAACUCCGUGCCAGCAGCCGCGGUAAUACGGAGGAUCCGAGCGUUAUCCGGAUUUAUUGGGUUUAAAGGGAGCGUAGAUGGGUUGUUAAGUCAGUUGUGAAAGUUUGCGGCUCAACCGGAAAAUUGCAAUUGAUACUGGGAGUCAUGAUUACAUUUGAGGUAGGCGAAAUUCGUGGUGGAGCGCGGAAAUGCUUAGAUAGCACGAAGAACCCCG